GGCGUUUUGGCUGAGUGGUUAUAGCGAUAGACUAGAAUGAGUUAGACGCACCAAGUACUCCUCUCACGGACUCUUGAACUGUCUAUUCUAGAUUCAUCUAUUUCCCUAGGGAGCGUAGGUUCAAAUCCUGCAGACGUAU
rnacentral:tRNA from 1 species